rnacentral:rRNA from 1 species
CCUACGGGUGGCAGCAGUGGGGGAUAUUGCACAAUGGGGGAAACCCUGAUGCAGCGACGCCGCGUGGGCGAAGAAGUAUUUCGGUAUGUAAAGCCCUAUCAGCAGGGAAGAAGAAAUGACGGUACCUGAGUAAGAAGCACCGGCUAAAUACGUGCCAGCAGCCGCGGUAAUACGUAUGGUGCAAGCGUUAUCCGGAUUUACUGGGUGUAAAGGGAGCGCAGGUGGCACGGCAAGCCUGAUGUGAAAGCUCGCGGCCCAACCGCGGGACUGCAUUGGGAACUAGCGGGCUUGAGUACCGGAGAGGUAGGCGGAAUUCGUGGUGUAGCGGUGAAAUGCGUAGAUAUUACGAGGAACUCCGAUGGCGAAGGCAGCCUACUGGACGGUGACUGACACUGAGGCUCGAAAGCGUGGGGAGCAAACAGGAUUAGAUACCCUUGUAGUC